UACGUAGGGUGCAAGCGUUGUCCGGAAUUAUUGGGCGUAAAGAGCUCGUAGGCGGUUUGUCGCGUCGGGAGUGAAAAUCCAGGGCUUAACUCUGGACUGGCUUCCGAUACGGGCAGACUAGAGGUAUGCAGGGGAGAACGGAAUUCCUGGUGUAGCGGUGAAAUGCGCAGAUAUCAGGAGGAACACCGGUGGCGAAGGCGGUUCUCUGGGCAUUACCUGACGCUGAGGAGCGAAAGUGUGGGGAGCGAACAGG
rnacentral:rRNA from 1 species